rnacentral:rRNA from 1 species
GAUGAACGCUAGCUACAGGCUUAACACAUGCAAGUCGAGGGGCAGCGGGAUUGAAGCUUGCUUCAAUUGCCGGCGACCGGCGCACGGGUGAGUAACGCGUAUCCAACCUUCCGUACACUCAGGGAUAGCCUUUCGAAAGAAAGAUUAAUACCUGAUGGUAUGAUGAGAUUGCAUGAUAUCAUCAUUAAAGAUUUAUCGGUGUACGAUGGGGAUGCGUUCCAUUAGGUAGUAGGCGGGGUAACGGCCCACCUAGCCAACGAUGGAUAGGGGUUCUGAGAGGAAGGUCCCCCACAUUGGAACUGAGACACGGUCCAAACUCCUACGGGAGGCAGCAGUGAGGAAUAUUGGUCAAUGGACGAGAGUCUGAACCAGCCAAGUAGCGUGAAGGAUGCAGGUCCUACGGAUUGUAAACUUCUUUUAUAAGGGAAUAAACCCUCCCACGUGUGGGAGCUUGUAUGUACCUUAUGAAUAAGCAUCGGCUAACUCCGUG